rnacentral:rRNA from 1 species
UACGUAGGGUGCAAGCGUUGUCCGGAAUUAUUGGGCGUAAAGAGCUCGUAGGCGGUCUGUCGCGUCUGGUGUGAAAACUCAGGGCUUAACCCUGAGCUUGCAUCGGGUACGGGCAGACUUGAGUACUGCAGGGGAGACUGGAAUUCCUGGUGUAGCGGUGAAAUGCGCAGAUAUCAGGAGGAACACCGGUGGCGAAGGCGGG